UACGAAGGGGGCGAGCGUUGUUCGGAGUUACUGGGCGUAAAGGGCGCGUAGGCGGCGAUCCAAGUUAGGCGUGAAAGCCCCGGGCUUAACCUGGGAAUUGCGCUUAAGACUGGACUGCUUGAGUGCGGGAGAGGUGAGUGGAAUUCCCAGUGUAGAGGUGAAAUUCGUAGAUAUUGGGAAGAACACCAGUGGCGAAGGCGGCUCACUGGACCGGAACUGACGCUGAGGCGCGAAAGCGUGGGGAGCAAACAGG
rnacentral:rRNA from 1 species